rnacentral:rRNA from 1 species
UUCCGGUUGAUCCUGCCGGAGGCCAUUGCUAUCGGAGUUCGAUUUAGCCAUGCUAGUCGCACGGGUUUAGACCCGUGGCGAAAAGCUCAGUAACACGUGGCCAAACUACCCUAUGGAUCAGAAUAACCUCGGGAAACUGAGGACAAUUCUGAAUACCGCUCCUGCACUGGGAUGUGCGGAGCACGAAAUGCUUCGGCGCCAUAGGAUGUGGCUGCGGCCGAUUAGGUUGACGGUGGGGUAACGGCCCACCGUGCCCAUAAUCGGUACGGGUUGUGAGAGCAAGAGCCCGGAGACGGUAUCUGAGACAAGAUACCGGGCCCUACGGGGCGCAGCAGGCGCGAAACCUUUACACUGCACGACAGUGCGAUAAGGGAACUCCGAGUGCGAGGGCAUAGAGCCCUCGCUUUUGUACACCGUAAGGUGGUGCACGAAUAAGGGCUGGGCAAGACCGGUGCCAGCCGCCGCGGUAAUACCGGCAGCCCAAGUGAUGGCCGAUAUUAUUGGGCCUAAAGCGUCCGUAGCUGGCCGGACAAGUCCGUUGGGAAAUCCGCGCGCUCAACGCGCGGGCGUCCAGCGGAAACUGUCCGGCUUGGGGCCGGAAGACCUGAGGGGUACGUCCGGGGUAGGAGUGAAAUCCUGUAAUCUCGGACGGACCGCCUGUGGCGAAAGCGCCUCAGGAAGACGGACCCGACAGUGAGGGACGAAAGCCAGGGUCUCGAACCGGAUUAGAUACCCGGGUAGUCCUGGCUGUAAACGAUGUCCGCUAGGUGUGACGCAGGCUACGGGCCUGCGCUGUGCCGUAGGGAAGCCGUGAAGCGGACCGCCUGGGAAGUACGUCUGCAAGGAUGAAACUUAAAGGAAUUGGCGGGGGAGCACUACAACCGGAGGAGCCUGCGGUUUAAUUGGAUUCAACGCCGGG